rnacentral:lncRNA from 1 species
CACCUGAGAUAGCGCAUGCGAACCAAUGUAUUUAUUCCGUAUCAGGUCCUGCCAUAUACCGUCCUCAAACAAAAAUUUGAACAACCAUUUGCUAAGAAGAUUAGUAUUUUUAGCAUCAAGAUUCUGAAUACCUAGACCACUUGCAAUCUUUUGGCCUGCACAAAAUGCUCUAUUUUGCGAGUCUAUAUUUUUUUUGCUGACUAUCAUUCUGUCUGAAAAAUCUAGACCGAAAAUAAUCAAACCUCUUGAAAACUCCACAUGGAAGUCAAAGAAUGACAUCAUAAAAAUAAUCAUACUACUAAGUACGGAAUUGAUGAAAACAAGCCUUUCUUCCAUGGAUGAAUGGGUAACUAAAGCAUUGUGAGCUCGUUAAGAAUCUGACAAUUGUUUCCCUCACAUCACCAGGGUUCAAAAAACAAAAAAAACAGACGGUAACAUCUUGAUAUCAAUAAUGUUCCCUUCCAGUAUUGGGGAACAUAAUCGCAGGAUGAGAAAAUUCUCCAGGAGGCGAUGGAUUUGCCAACCGCUGAUUGCCUUUCUCCUUGACAAUGUCGAGAAUUGUGUACUAGUCAGCGUGCUGGAUCUGCAUAUAGCCCCGCAAUUCCUUUACCUCUUUGCUUUCUAGCCGUAGUGAUGCCCCACGGGCAAAUGUUUUCUACGACAGUUUGAUUGUGCCCUUUGGCC